AUUGAACGCUGGCGGCAUGCCUAACACAUGCAAGUCGAACGCGUGGCGGACGUGUGUGUAACGUCUGGGACACAGCUUUAUGGCUGGGGAUAACUACUGAAAACGGUAGCUAAUACCGCUUACCAUCCGAUUUUCCCUGAUGGGAUUAGCGUGUGGGUGGGGUAACGGCUCACCAAGGCGACGAUCCCUAGCGGGUCUGAGAGGAUGACCAGCCACACGGGAACUGAGACACGGUCCAGACUCCUACGGGAGGCAGCAGUGGGGAAUAUUGCACAAUGGGCGAAAGCCUGAUGGAGCCAUGCCGCGUGUAUGAAGAAGGCCUUCGGGUUGUAAAGUACUGUCAGCGGGGAGGCGUUACCCACAGAGGAAGCACCGGCUAACUCCGUGCCAGCAGCCGCGGUAAUAC
rnacentral:rRNA from 1 species